UACGUAGGGUGCAAGCGUUACUCGGAAUUACUGGGCGUAAAGCGUGCGCAGGCGGUGAUGUAAGACAGUUGUGAAAUCCCCGGGCUCAACCUGGGAACUGCAUCUGUGACUGCAUCGCUGGAGUACGGCAGAGGGGGAUGGAAUUCCGCGUGUAGCAGUGAAAUGCGUAGAUAUGCGGAGGAACACCGAUGGCGAAGGCAAUCCCCUGGGCCUGUACUGACGCUCAUGCACGAAAGCGUGGGGAGCAAACAGG
rnacentral:rRNA from 1 species